GUCGCGGGGUAAGGCCAUGGGCCCAGGCUCCUGGGGUUCACGGAGUCAUGGAGGGACACAGAUGACCCUUAUAAACACAGUGGAAAGAUUAAGUUAGGUAACAGGGCAGCAGCUUCUCGGUUCGAGGACAACAAAGGGCAGCCGGAGAGCGUGGGUUGAAUAACUGGAAGCAAUUUUAGGUCUUGCAGCAAGAGUGGGGUGUCCCGAAGGGUAGCAUCUGCGUGACCCCGUGAGAGCUGCAGGCUCAGCAGAGAGAACAGCUUGUGUGCUUCUGGUGUGUCCACAAGGAGGCCAGCGUGGCUGGCGUGAGACGUGACCCCCGUCCUCCAGACCGAGGCUCGCUGGUUGUGAGGCGGGACGUUGCCCGUAGUUGUGAGGACGGCAGGCACACACCUGCACCAUCCCGGGCGAACCAGGACAAUGGUCACCCAGCAUCUGAAGCUCUGCCUUUCUGAGGAAGAACGGCGUGGCCGCAGCCCCAGACACCACCUGGGUUUGCAUCCUGUCCUCUGAGCCUCCAGGAGCCGAGAAAGGUCUCUGGGUUCAGCAAAUAAGGAGAAGCCCCGUUUCAGAGUCAUAGUUUCCUGUGUUCACCUCAUUUUUGGUUUUGGAAGAUAUCUUACUCCCUUUCCAACUCCAUGAUGCAAAAGAGGCAUUUAAAAAACGGUUCUCGUCUGUUUGGCAGUUUCAGUGAGAGCUGAGUCGGUCGUUGUGAGCCUGAUGAGAGUUGUCUCACCCAUGCUCUGGCUGGCUGGUCAGGGGCCUGAAGGCCACUUGGCUUCCUGCCCCACAGGAACAGGGCGAUGGCUUUUUCCUCCUUCUUAGGCUCUUCUAAGGAGACCUCAUGGCCCAAGUUUGUUGGAAUCCGUGAUGCUACCUCAUUCAUUCGAAACGUGGUGUCUUAAGUGUUUGGUCCAUUGUCCCU
rnacentral:lncRNA from 12 species